rnacentral:rRNA from 1 species
GACAGAGGGGGCAAGCGUUGCUCGGAAUCACUGGGCGUAAAGGGCGCGUAGGCGGGAUGGCAAGUCGGUCGUGAAAUCCUUCGGCCCAACCGAAGAACGUCGGCCGAUACUGCCAUUCUUGAGGGAUGCAGAGGAGACUGGAAUUCCCGGUGUAGCGGUGAAAUGUGUAGAGAUCGGGAGGAACACCGGUGGCGAAGGCGGGUCUCUGGGCAUUUCCUGACGCUGAGGCGCGAAAGCUAGGGGAGCGAACAGG